rnacentral:pre_miRNA from 1 species
AGACACCCUUCUGGGGCAAGACUUGCUUCAGUGGGGCUUUGGUGCUCACUGAGUCUGCCCCCCCCCGAGUGUGUCCCU